rnacentral:rRNA from 1 species
UGGGGAAUAUUGGACAAUGGGCGAAAGCCUGAUCCAGCAAUGCCGCGUGAGUGAUGAAGGCCUUAGGGUUGUAAAGCUCUUUUACCAGGGAUGAUAAUGACAGUACCUGGAGAAUAAGCUCCGGCUAACUCCGUGCCAGCAGCCGCGGUAAUACGGAGGGAGCUAGCGUUGUUCGGAAUUACUGGGCGUAAAGCGUACGUAGGCGGUGACUCAAGUCAGAGGUGAAAGCCUGGAGCUCAACUCCAGAACUGCCUUUGAAACUAGGUCGCUAGAAUCACGGAGAGGUGAGUGGAAUUCCGAGUGUAGAGGUGAAAUUCGUAGAUAUUCGGAAGAACACCAGUGGCGAAGGCGGCUCACUGGACGUGUAUUGACGCUGAGGUACGAAAGCGUGGGGAGCAAACAGGAUUAGAUACCCCCGUAG